GACGAGGUGGCUGAGAGGUUAAGGUGAUGGACUGCUAAUCUAUUGUGCUCUGCACACGUGGGUUCGAAUCCCACCCCUGUUG
rnacentral:tRNA from 1 species